rnacentral:rRNA from 1 species
AACGAACGCUGGCGGUAUGCUUAACACAUGCAAGUCGAACGAACAAAAUUGGGGCUUGCUCCAAUUUUAGUGAGUGGCAAACGGGUGAGUAACACGUGGGAAUCUACCUAUCAGUACGGAAUAGCAUUUGGAAACAGAUGCUAAUACCGUAUAUUCUCCAAGGAGGAAAGAUUUAUCGCUGAUAGAUGAGCCCGCGCAAGAUUAGGUAGUUGGUAGGGUAAUGGCCUACCAAGCCGACGAUCUUUAGCUGGUCUGAGAGGAUGAUCAGCCACACUGGGACUGAGACACAGCCCAGUCUCCUACGGGAGGCAGCAGUGGGGAAUAUUGGACAAUGGGCGAAAGCCUGAUCCAGCAAUACCGCGUGAAUGAUGAAGGCCUUAGGGUUGUAAAGUUCUUUUAGUUGGAAAGAUAAUGACGGUACCAACAGAAAAAGCCCCGGCUAACUCCGUGCCAGCCGCCGCAGUAA